rnacentral:rRNA from 1 species
CAGGCCUAACACAUGCAAGUCGAGCGGGCAUCUUCGGGUGUCAGCGGCGGACGGGUGAGUAACGCGUGGGAACGUGCCCUCUGGUUCGGAACAACCCUGGGAAACUAGGGCUAAUACCGGAUACGCCCUUUUGGGGAAAGGCUUGCUGCCGGAGGAUCGGCCCGCGUCUGAUUAGCUUGUUGGUGGGGUAACGGCCUACCAAGGCGACGAUCAGUAGCUGGUCUGAGAGGAUGAUCAGCCACACUGGGACUGAGACACGGCCCAGACUCCUACGGGAGGCAGCAGUGGGGAAUAUUGGACAAUGGGCGCAAGCCUGAUCCAGCCAUGCCGCGUGAGUGAUGAAGGCCUUAGGGUUGUAAAGCUCUUUUAUCCGGGACGAUAAUGACGGUACCGGAGGAAUAAGCCCCGGCUAACUUCGUGCCAGCAGCCGCGGUAAU